GCCCGGGUGGUGGAAUUGGUAGACACACAAGACUUAAAAUCUUGCGCUCUUUGGGCGUGCCGGUUCAAGUCCGGCCUCGGGCA
rnacentral:tRNA from 1 species